UAUCACAGGCUGAAGGAUGAUGUUC
rnacentral:piRNA from 1 species